rnacentral:rRNA from 1 species
AACGACUCUCGGCAACGGAUAUCUCGGCUCUUGCAUCGAUGAAGAACGUAGCGAAAUGCGAUACUUGGUGUGAAUUGCAGAAUCCCGUGAACCAUCGAGUCUUUGAACGCAAGUUGCGCCCUAGGCCUUCUGGUCGAGGGCACGUCUGCCUGGGCGUCACGC